GCGUUGUCCGGAAUUAUUGGGCGUAAAGAGCUCGUAGGCGGCUUGUCACGUCGGGAGUGAAAACUCGGGGCUUAACCCCGAGCUUGCUUUCGAUACGGGCAGGCUGGAGUUCGGCAGGGGAGACUGGAAUUCCUGGUGUAGCGGUGAAAUGCGCAGAUAUCAGGAGGAACACCGGUGGCGAAGGCGGGUCUCUGGGCCGAUACUGACGCUGAGGAGCGAAAGCGUG
rnacentral:rRNA from 1 species